rnacentral:tRNA from 1 species
GCCUGGGUGGCUCAGUUGGUUGAGUGUCUGACUUCAGCUCAGGUCAUGGUCUCGGGGUUUGUGAGUUUGAGCCCCAUGUCAGGCU